rnacentral:rRNA from 1 species
AGCGAACGCUGGCGGCAGGCCUAACACAUGCAAGUCGAACGAAGUCUUCGGACUUAGUGGCGGACGGGUGAGUAACACGUGGGAAAGUGCCUUUAGGUUCGGAAUAACUCAGGGAAACUUGUGCUAAUACCGAAUGUGCCCUUCGGGGGAAAGAUUUAUCGCCUUUAGAGCGGCCCGCGUCUGAUUAGCUAGUUGGUGAGGUAAAGGCUCACCAAGGCUACGAUCAGUAGCUGGUCUGAGAGGAUGACCAGCCACAUUGGGACUGAGACACGGCUCAAACUCCUACGGGAGGCAGCAGUGGGGAAUCUUGCGCAAUGGGCGAAAGCCUGACGCAGCCAUGCCGCGUGGAUGAUGAAGGUCUUAGGAUUGUAAAAUCCUUUCACCGGUGAAGAUAAUGACUGUAGCCGGAGAAGAAGCCCCGGCUAACUUCGUGCCAGCCGCCGCAGUAAUAC